UUAACUACCCCGUAACAUAACGAUGGUGGCAUCACAUUGUUAUUAUAGCUUCGGCGCUUCUUGAUGGGUGUGCGGCUGAUUAGAUAGUUGGCGGGGUAACGGCCCACCAAGUCUACGAUCAGUAGCUGAUGUGAGAGCAUGAUCAGCCACACGGGCACUGAGACACGGGCCCGACUCCUACGGGAGGCAGCAGUAAGGAAUAUUGGUCAAUGGACGCAAGUCUGAACCAGCCAUGCCGCGUGAAGGAUUAAGGUCCUCUGGAUUGUAAACUUCUUUUAUCUGGGACGAAAAAAGGCGAUUCUUCGUCACUUGACGGUACCAGAUGAAUAAGCACCGGCUAACUCCGUG
rnacentral:rRNA from 1 species